GACUCCAUGAAGCUGGAUUCGCUAGUAAUCGCGCAUCAGCCACGGCGCGGUGAAUACGUUCCCGGGCCUUGUACACACCGCCCGUCAAGCCAUGGAAGCCGGGAGUGCCUGAAGUGCGUGACCGCAAGGAGCGCCCUAAGGCAAUACCGGUGACUGGGGCUAAGUCGUAACAAGGUAUC
rnacentral:rRNA from 1 species